AUUGAACGCUGGCGGCAGGCCUAACACAUGCAAGUCGAACGAAUGGCGGACGGGUGAGUAAUGUCUGGGAAACUGUCUGAUGGAGGGGGAUAACUACUUGAACCGGUAGCUAAUACCGCAUACCAUCCGAUGACCCCAAGUGGGAUUAGCUAGUUGGUGGGGUAACGGCUCACCAAGGCGCCGCUCCCUGGCGGGUCUGAGAGGAUGACCAGCCACACGGGAACUGAGACACGGCCCCGACUCCUACGGGAGGCAGCAGUGGGGAAUAUUGCACAUGGGGCGCAAGCCUGAUGCAGCCCUGCCGCGUGUAUGAAGAAGGCCUUCGGGUUGUAAAGUACUUUCAGCGUGGAGGCGUUACCCGCAGAAGAAGCACCGGCUAACUCCGUGCCAGCAGCCGCGGUAAUAC
rnacentral:rRNA from 1 species